rnacentral:rRNA from 1 species
UGGGGAAUAUUGGACAAUGGGCGAAAGCCUGAUCCAGCCAUGCCGCGUGUGUGAAGAAGGUCUUCGGAUUGUAAAGCACUUUAAGUUGGGAGGAAGGGCAUUAACCUAAUACGUUAGUGUUUUGAUGUUACCGACAGAAUAAGCACCGGCUAACUCUGUGCCAGCAGCCGCGGUAAUACAGAGGGUGCAAGCGUUAAUCGGAAUUACUGGGCGUAAAGCGCGCGUAGGUGGUUUGUUAAGUUGGAUGUGAAAUCCCCGGGCUCAACCUGGGAACUGCAUUCAAAACUGACUGACUAGAGUAUGGUAGAGGGUGGUGGAAUUUCCUGUGUAGCGGUGAAAUGCGUAGAUAUAGGAAGGAACACCAGUGGCGAAGGCGACCACCUGGACUAAUACUGACACUGAGGUGCGAAAGCGUGGGGAGCAAACA